rnacentral:rRNA from 1 species
UACGAAGGGGGCUAGCGUUGUUCGGAAUUACUGGGCGUAAAGCGCACGUAGGCGGAUCGAUCAGUCAGGGGUGAAAUCCCAGAGCUCAACUCUGGAACUGCCUUUGAUACUGUCGGUCUAGAGUAUGGAAGAGGUGAGUGGAAUUCCGAGUGUAGAGGUGAAAUUCGUAGAUAUUCGGAGGAACACCAGUGGCGAAGGACGGCUCACUGGUC